AUCCCGGGCAAGUUAUAACUUAAUGAUGACGUAAACUUGUUAUGCAACUAGCAGCCUUUCUAUUUUUUUGUAAAAACAAAGGCCUUUUCAUAGGCCUUGCUUAUGUCCUCAUAUCUGAAUAGGCUGUUAUAUGUGGCAUGUACCUCAACUGGCAAGUCAUUGCGCUGUGCCUCAAGUUAUUUCAAUAUGUACGUACAUUUUUUUAGACAAUUGAUGUUAUGUUAUGUUAGUUACAGUAGUGUCAAUGGUCAGGGAAAGUCAGACGAAACUGAAGCUGACUAUUUUAUUUUUCUAUGGCAAUAUCUCAACAAUUUCGGCAAAUAUUGGUGCAUGCGGUUGGAUCGAGAACGAAUGAAUGAAUGAAUGGUUGACUGUGGCUGGCUGGUUGGCUGACAACAGCCAAAGAAGAGUAUACAAGCAAAGUAAAGUAUGGCAAAAUCUAUACAACACUACGACCUUGCAAUGCCCUUGAAUGACACUGUUGUGUGCGCAAAGCAGAGCAGAGAAGCGCAAAAUAAUACCGAACACAACAACAAUUUACAAUUUAGUGAGCAGAACAGAGGGAGAAUUGAACAGCCAAAACAGAGCCCGAAUACAGAAAGAACAUUGUGCGGCGGCAAAUUCCCAAUACGGGCCACCGUAAAACAUUUGUAUGGCGGGCGGCUACCAGACUCAUACGAACGUGCGGCCAAAAAUAUUCGGUGGUGUAUGACAACAAUUAUUACAAGAACAAUUCGACGAAACAAGCAAAAAUUAAAAUUCGCGAAUUACAUCCUCUGCAAACUGAAAGGUAAAACCCCUAAUUUGUCCGUAAAGCGCAAAAAUUUGUCCUUUAAAAAGCCCUUAGAAGAGAAGUGAAAAGAGAACAAGAUAAAAAAGUACAACAAGAAGUUGAAUGACAUUGGGGAAGAGACAUCGUCGGCGGCAAGUCUAAAGCACGCACAUAACGAAUUUCCCAACACCACCCACGCAUACGCUCAUUAAUCCCAUACACGCACCCACCACAUUACGGUCUGGUAGUGCUGCUGUAGCUACUUCUUCUUCUUCUUCAAUUGAUUAACCGAACGCGUGUGUUAUUAACGACUGAAGCAACAACACUCGAUAAUAAUAAUAAUUCUUCAUUAACAGAGAGGGAGAGAAAACACUUUAAAAAAAUCACAACAAAAAUAUUUUGUGCUGGUCAUCCUAGUGCUAAGGGAAAGUGUGUCACAUACACCGAAAGGACAUCAAAGGUUGUCCAGGUUCUGAGAGAAGAGAAAGAGCACCAUAUCUCAACUCGCCUUCAAAUAGGAGAGCCAUCAUCGUUGCCGCUGUCAUCUGGCAAAGAGCGCGUGUACGCGCAUAAUUUGUUUAAGAAUUAACACAA
rnacentral:sRNA from 1 species